UACGGAGGAUGCAAGCGUUAUCCGGAUUUAUUGGGUUUAAAGGGUGCGUAGGCGGGAAAAUAAGUCAGUGGUGAAAUCCUACAGCUUAACUGUAGAAUUGCCGUUGAUACUGUUUUUCUUGAGUAUGGUCAAGGAAGGCGGAAUGUGUAAUGUAGCGGUGAAAUGCUUAGAUAUUACACAGAGCACCAAUUGCGAAGGCAGCUUUCUGGCCCAUUACUGACGCUGAGGCACGAAAGCGUGGGGAUCGAACAGGAUUAGAUACCCU
rnacentral:rRNA from 1 species